CCUACGGGAGGCAGCAGUAGGGAAUCUUCCGCAAUGGACGAAAGUCUGACGGAGCAACGCCGCGUGAACGAUGAAGGCCUUCGGGUCGUAAAGUUCUGUUGUUAGGGAAGAACAAGUGUUAGUUGAAUAAGCUGGCACCUUGACGGUACCUAACCAGAAAGCCACGGCUAACUACGUGCCAGCAGCCGCGGUAAUACGUAGGUGGCAAGCGUUGUCCGGAAUUAUUGGGCGUAAAGCGCGCGCAGGCGGUUUCUUAAGUCUGAUGUGAAAGCCCCCGGCUCAACCGGGGAGGGUCAUUGGAAACUGGGAAACUUGAGUGCAGAAGAGGAAAGUGGAAUUCCAAGUGUAGCGGUGAAAUGCGUAGAGAUUUGGAGGAACACCAGUGGCGAAGGCGACUUUCUGGUCUGUAACUGACGCUGAGGCGCGAAAGCGUGGGGAGCAAACAGGAUUAGAUACCCUGGUAGUCCACGCUGUAAACGAUGAGUGCUAAGUGUUAGAGGGUUUCCGCCUUUAGUGCUGAAGUUAACGCAUUAAGCACUCCGCCUGGGGAGUACGGUCGCAAAGCUGAAACUUAAAUGAAUUGACGNUUGAGAGNGCGAGNGACGACGAGGAGAG
rnacentral:rRNA from 1 species